rnacentral:rRNA from 1 species
CCUACGGGAGGCAGCAGUGGGGGAUAUUGCACAAUGGAGGAAACUCUGAUGCAGCGACGCCGCGUGAGGGAAGACGGUCUUCGGAUUGUAAACCUCUGUCUUUGGGGAAGAAAAUGGCGGUACCCAAAGAGGAAGCUCCGGCUAACUACGUGCCAGCAGCCGCGGUAAUACGUAGGGAGCGAGCGUUGUCCGGAAUUACUGGGGGUAAAGGGAGGGGUGGCGGGCGAGAAAGUUGAAUGGUAAAUCUACAGGCUUACCUGGUAGCUGCAUUCAAAACUUCUGGUCGUGAUUGAAGGAGAGGCAGGCGGAAUUCCUAGUGUAGCGGUGAAAUGCGUAGAUAUUAGGAGGAACACCAGUGGCGAAGGCGGCCUGCUGGGCUUUAACUGACGCUGAGGCUCGAAAGCGUGGGGAGCAAACAGGAUUAGAUACCCUUGUAGGC